rnacentral:lncRNA from 1 species
CCUCAACGUCAACUGCUGGUAAACCCCAUCCGGACUCCUAUGGGAGUCGGGCUUCACCUUUAACUUUGAUUGCAGGAAGACUCCGCCCGGAUUCCUACAGAGGCCGGACUCCGACCGCUGCCGAGCUUCAGCCGAUAGAUCUGCGCCCCUUGGCGGCCCUGCUCCACUUCCUACAAUGGAUCCCGCACUGCUCCAUCACCCCUGACAGGCCACAGUAAUGAUCGCAGCCCUGCUCCACUCUCUGCGGCGGACCCUACGCGACCCCAUUACUCUCUGUAUCAACGGCCAUGAUUCUGCUCCGCUCCCUGCGGCAGGUGCUGCGUGACUCCACUACUUCAUGGCAGGCCGCAAUAAUGGCCACGAUCCUGCUCCACUCCUCGCAACUGAUUCCACGUGGCGAGCUACGGCGAUAGCCACGAUUCUGCUCCACUACCCUUCGCAAUAAAGUCCCCCUGACUACGAGCGGCCCACUACCAGACGGUUACCAACGUCGCCAUCAAUCCGUUACCUCCUCCGCCUAUAAAAGGGGGAC